AUUGAACGCUGGCGGCAUGCCUUACACAUGCAAGUCGAACGGCAGCACGGGAGCAAUCCUGGUGGCGAGUGGCGAACGGGUGAGUAAUAUAUCGGAACGUGCCCGGUCGUGGGGGAUAACGUAGCGAAAGCUACGCUAAUACCGCAUACGAUCUACGGAUGAAAGCGGGGGAUCGCAAGACCUCGCGCGAUUGGAGCGGCCGAUAUCAGAUUAGGUAGUUGGUGAGGUAAAGGCUCACCAAGCCGACGAUCUGUAGCUGGUCUGAGAGGACGACCAGCCACACUGGGACUGAGACACGGCCCAGACUCCUACGGGAGGCAGCAGUGGGAAUUUUGGACAAAUGGGCGCAAGCCUGAUCCAGCAAUGCCGCGUGCAGGAUGAAGGCCUUC
rnacentral:rRNA from 1 species